rnacentral:lncRNA from 1 species
UGGCUCACGAUACAUGGUAAAUUCCUUUUUGCCCUCCCCUUUUCUAUUUAAUGCUAAAAAGCUAGAGUAAAAUGAGUAUUUAAAAAUAUCACUUAGCUUUUAUACCUGGAUCUCUUAACUUUCAUGCGCCUACAUUGGGCAGCACAGUAUGGCAUCAGCCUUCCACUUGUUUUGCAUACCAUAGUCUACAUACUUCAUUAGUUUUAGUAAAAGAGAUGUGCAUUUUAUUUUGGUGCUUAAUGCUUUAGCAAAAAAAGAGAACUAUGAUAGAAUUUUGUGAUUAUAAUUAUUUUUUUACCUGCAAAAUUCACUCCCAUUUUGGAAAGUUGUAGUUCAGGUAGUUAGAACACUGUGUCCUUGGUUGUCUGAGUGGCAAAAGGUGGUUUUUAGAGAUUACAAGAUGUGGAAACUUGGUUUGCAUUCUCUCUUUACAUAUCUUCCUCCCAGAAUGUUUGGUUGUUUGGUUUGGGUGGAAAAAAUGGUAGGAAAUCCAAAGUUAGGUUUGUUUUUAAAAGUGUACUAAAGCAGAUGACUUACACUUAAGGCUUUGUGAUAAUUGGGAAAGGUUUAUAAGAAUUGUGUUCAUUUUAGGGGGCCAAAUAACUUGGUAGAGCAGCUUUAGUAUCAAUGUGGAAUUAGAACAAAGUCACCAACUGCCUGAGAAUAAAGUAAUGUGGAGAAAUGAGGUUGAGGGAUGAGCUGCUGUCGACUUGGCUGUUCCAGUUUGCAGUUUCCCCUUUUGUUGGUCCUUGCAUUUUCCUCUUCUAAGAGAUAGCAGUCAUUUUUAGCUGAGGAACUUUGCUGUAAAACCUGACAGUAUAUGAGCACUUCUAAGUUUCAUUUGUAUUAAAUAUAAGCUGAAAACUCUUUAUGUGCUUGUGCUCACAGAGCCACUUUUUCAUCCCUCCCACCUUGAUUGCAAAAGUGAAGAGAAAUACACAUUCCAUUGGGGCCAUUUCUUUACUUUUUUAAAAAUAGUAUUCAGUGUGUUCGCUUUGCUCUGAGUAACCCUUGAAACGGUUCCUAAAUAAAGGACUCUAAUUACAACUUUGGUUCUUCAGCAUACCCUUCCCCACAUAAGCAGGUGCAGAAUUGAAGGCAAGAUUGUAUCUCAAAAAGGCACCUUGCAAAUCUGCUUUAGCUUUCUUGUAAUUACAUGCAGGCAAGGCAGCCUGUGUUAAAAAUUAUAAAGGAGAGAAAAGGGUGAUUUGUACUAAAUGUUCCAAGGAGUGUUUAGUAGUGGUAGCUUUGACUAUGUCUAUGCCAGCUUCAUUAUUAAGGCUGUAAAAGGAUUAUCUCAUCAGAAAUUGGAGAUGGUGUUUCUCAGAAAGUGUACAAAAUAAAAUGUUACUAAAUC